UACCAGCACCCGAGUGGUCGGGACGUUUUAUUGGGCCUAAAGCAUCCGUAGCCGGUUCUACAAGUCUUCCGUUAAAUCCAACUGCUUAACAGGUGGGCUGCGGAAGAUACUAUAGAGCUAGGAGGCGGGAGAGGCAAGCGGUACUCGAUGGGUAGGGGUAAAAUCCGUUGAUCCAUUGAAGACCACCAGUGGCGAAGGCGGCUUGCCAGAACGCGCUCGACGGUGAGGGAUGAAAGCUGGGGGAGCAAACCGG
rnacentral:rRNA from 1 species